AAUAAACCUGAUGAGUUGCUGCUGGCUCUUUGGGGAGCAUGUGCACACUUGUCAUCUUUAUAUCUUCACCUGUGCAUCUUUUGUAGAUCUGGAUAUCUCUCUGAAUGCCUAGUAAUUCAGGUUUGAGGAUUGACUUUAUUGUCUUUCUUUACAUUUCCAGGCCUAUGUUUCUUAAUAUACCCAAUGUAUGUCUUAGAAUGUAAUAAAUGGGUCUUUGUGCCUAUAAAUCUAUACAACUUUCAGCAACGGAUCUCUUGGCUCUUGCAUCGAUGAAGAACGCAGCGAAAUGCGAUAAGUAAUGUGAAUUGCAGAAUUCAGUGAAUCAUCGAAUCUUUGAACGCACCUUGCGCACCUUGGUAUUCUGAGGAGCAUGCCUGUUUGAGUGUCAUUAAUAUAUAUAUAUCAACCUUUGCAACUUUUGUUUGUUGAGUUGUUGGAUGUGGGGGGUUUCUUGCUGGCUUCUCUGAGGUCAGCUCCCCUGAAAUAUAUUAGCAGAAUGAUUCCUGUUCAUUGGUGUGAUAACUAUCUACGCCAUUAACAUGAAGUAGUUUGGCUUAUAAUGGUCUAUUGACUUGGACAAAUUUUCAUUAAUGUGACCUCAAAUCAGGUAGGACUACCCGCUGAACUUAAGCAUAUCAAUAAGCGGAGGAAAAGAAACUAACAAGGAUUCCCCUAGUAACUGCGAGUGAAGCGGGAAAAGCUCAAAUUUGGAAUCUGGC
rnacentral:rRNA from 1 species